GCGCAAUAGUUAAGGAGGUUGACGGCAUGACAGUUGAGGACGUUGAUCUAAUGCAGAGAAGCAAGAAAAAAAGUAAAAGAAAGGCUAUUGGAUAGGCUCUUUUGUGGGUUGUGACAGGUUUAGGGAGGGUGACGACUGGUCAAACUUUGGUUCACCCAACCCAACUCGAGUCAUAGAGGAGGAAAAUGCAAAGUUUCUUGAAAUCCCGAUGGAAAAGGGCGCUAAUGGUGAAGGUUCUAGGGAGACAAAUGGGGUUUCAUGUUCUUCUGGCCAAACUGAAAAGGGAACUCAUUGACUUACCAAACGACUUCUUUUUGAGGGGACUUGGAAGAUUGCAAAUCACUAUUUGCUUGUUCAGAGAUGGAGACUUGGGUUUCAGGCAAGUGUUGAUGUUGAGAGGAGGGUUGCUGCUUGGGUCAGAAUACUAAAUCUUUCCAUUGAGUUGUACAAUGAUGCUUUCCUAACGAGAGUGGGGAACAUGAUCGGAGUGAUGCUAAAAGUGAAUACAAUUACUUCCAUCCACUAAGGAGGCUAAUUUGCCCGUAUUUGCGUAGAGCUUGAACUAGAUAAACCUUUGAUCCCAAAGUUUAUUGUUAGGGGGGAAAUCCUUAAUCUUGUGUUCGAAGGGCUUCAUGUCAUUUAUUUCUCGUGUGGGAGAUAAAGGCACAGAGGAGAAAGUUGUCCCCAGAUUAUUAGGUCUCCAGAGACGGCGGAGAAGCCCAAGGAGGAAGCAGCGACCGUGGAUGUUGUUUCUAUUAUUAAGGAGGCGAGUGGAAUUCAGUUGGAUCUGGGUUAGGCCUAAACCCCAAAGGCUGACGUGGAGGUCAAUAACAUUCCUUCAAUGGUUGGAAUUCUACAACAAAGCACUCAUGAUAUCGAUGGGGCCCUCUAUGGUCCUUGGAUGCUGUCACUAGGAAGAAGGACACAAAAGGUAAAGCUAAGGUUGUUUUCACUGGAACAAGGGGCCUAUCUGGUACGUAAGAUGGGGAAAGAAAGCGUGGGGCCCAAGCUAGGAAAUCAACUCCUAGGCUUAAGAAGAAAGUGAUUGUGCCUAGUAUUAUUUUCAGGGCCUCUAAAGGUAACUAUACCCAAACCAAAGGUAAAGUUAACAAGAAUGACACUAUAGUUGGGGGGGAGUUUCUCUUCUCUUAUUAACUCUGAUCAGCACGAAGAGGAAAAAAAGAAAGUAGGUCCUGGCAAGAGGAAGGCUCAUCCUACAAAAUAUGCCAGUACAAAUAAAAAAGGUUUAGUAGUUUUUGCUCCUAGAACUAAUCCUCAGCCAAAUGAGGUUAUGCCAAAAAUCAAAUGAAUAGUGAAGAAUUUGCAAAAAAAUUGUCCCUAAUGAAGAGUGGUUUCAAUAUUGAAGAGAACCCAGAAAGCUCUGGAUCUAAGAACUUUUCUGGUGUCCCUAUUUCUCAGCCAAGUUAGAUAGAAGGGUUUGACUAGGUUUGUUUAAGAUAAGGAUAAAACUAUUGAGAUGUGCUUAGAUGACAAAGCCAUGGACGUGCAAAUGUCAAUUUAAAAUCAAGAAGGUAAUGACAUUCUUGAGAUGUAACCUGGACUAGUUGGAGUCACCAACAAUCUAGUCUUAUGAAUAUUAUUAGUUUGAAUUGUAGGGGUACCCAGAAUAAGGGGUUUUCUAACCUCAUCAGAGAUAUAAAAAAAGAGUGUAAGGCUUCCUUGAUGUGCCUCCUUGAGACUCAUUCUAGUGGUUUAGUGGCGAAGAAAAUAUUUAAUGGAUGCAACUAUGAUAAAGUGUUUAUUCAAGAUGCAGUUGGUGAAGCUGGUGGGAUCUGGAUCCUUUGGGAUUCUAUGAUUUGGGAUAUUGAGAUUUUGGCCUAUGAAACUCAUUAUGUUCACUUGAAGGUUAGGAAUGGAACUUCUCCUUCUUGGUUUAUGACAGUUGUUUAUGGCAGCCCCCACUAUCAAGCUAGAAGUAGAUUGAUGGACUCCUUAAUCAAUCUUGUAGAUUCAAUCUCUCACCCUUGGGUUGUGGUUGGGGAUUUUAAUUCCAUCCUCAAUCCCAUGAUAGAGACAAACAUUUUUGCAACUACUACUAGGAGCAUGAACAAAUUCAAAGAUGUUGUUGAUGAGUGCCAAUUGAUUGAUGCAGGCUUUCAAGGACGCCCUUUCACCUGGAGACGCAAAGGCCUCACUAAGAGAUUGGAUCACUUGCUCAUUAAUUUCAGUUGGAGACUUCAGUAUAAAUAAGCAUCUGCUUUUCAUCUACCCAACUUCAAAUCAGAUCAUGCACUUAUUUUGAUUGAGUUGUGUAAAAAUCAUCUUCCUAACAAGCAUAGGAGGCCUUUUAGUUUCCUAGCUGCAUGGAUCACUCAUGAGGACUUCCUAAGGGACCAUUGGAAGAGCGAUCUACCUUGGAAUGCUUAGCUCUUAACUUUUAGGGUUGAUCUUUAGGAGUGGAAGAAAAAUAUAUUUGGUCACAUUCAGGUGAGGAAAAAGGCUUUGUUGAAGAAGCUUCAAUGCUUAGCAAACUGUUUUGGUUCGAAUAAUGACACUGGGUUGGUGAAUGAACAAAUGAAAGUUUGGAGGGAUUAUCAGCAAGUUCUGGCUGAGGAGGAACUCCUCAAGUUUCAAAAAUCCAUAGCAAAAUGGCUUAAAUUUGGCAACUGUAACACCAAGUUCUUUCAUGGGGUGGCUUCAGUCAAAAGGAGAAGAAACAAGGUGGACACCAUCCAAGAUGAUGAUGGUGUUUUGGCUCACCGACAAAUGGCAAAUAGAAAGGUAUGCAACAGAUUUCUUCCGGAAGCUUUUUUUGGUUGAAAACAACUUCACUCCUUUUCGUCUUGCUAAUUCUUUUCCUGAUCUUGAUGUUGAUGAGGUGGAUUCACUAGGGAAGCAUGUCACUAGGGAUGAGAUCAAGCUCUCAGUCAUAUGGGUGGCUUCAAAGCUCCUGGUCCUGAUGAAAUGCAUGCUAUUUUCUACCAAUCUUAAUGGAAAAGGAUCUGAAUGAUACACUCAUCACUUUAAUUCCCAAGCUACCAGUUGUUACAAAGCUAAAAGACUUCAGACCUAUUAGUCUUUGCAAUGUCACUUACAAGCUGGUAGCAAAAGUUCUUGCCCAAAGGUUGAGAGUGCUUAUGGAGAAGCUAGUGAGCCCCUGUCAAGUUAGCUUCAUUCUGAAUAGACACAGUGGUGAUAACAUCACAAUUGCUUAAGAGAUCUUCCAUUCCAUGAGAUGCCGGAAGGGGAAGAAAGUUGGAUGAUUAUUAAAGUGGACUUGGAUAAGGCUUAUGAUUGUCUUAAGUGGGAAUUUGUGAAGGAAACUCUUCAAGACAUUGGCUACCCAAACAAUUUUGUGCAACUGGUUUGGUAUUGCAUGUCUACAACCAUUAUGAGUUUGCUUUGGAAUGGUGACGUUUUGGAUCACUUUUCUCCUAAUAUUGGAGUUCGUCAACGAGAUCCUAUCUCACCAUAUCUCUUUGUUCUUUGCUUGGAAAGGCUAUCUCAUCUCAUCAAUCUGGUGAUGAAUAAGAAGCUUUAGAGAUCGAUCCAAGUGAAUAGAGGUGGGCUUCUCAUAUCUCAUCUUGCCUUUGUAGACGAUCUCAUCCUCUUUGUAGAAGCUAAUAUGGACCAGGUGGAUGUGAUAAACCUAACUCUUAAGCACUUUUCUGACAGCUCUGGAGCCAAGGUUAAUGUGGACAAAACCAAAAGUUUUCUUUUUCCAAAAAUGUUAAUUGGUGGGUUGAGGAAGACAUCUCAAGUGGGCUGGGAUUACAAAGUACGGAUGAUUUAGGUAAGUACUUGGGAGUUCCUAUAUUCCACAAAAACCCAACUAGUCAUACCUUUGAUUUCAUCAUUGACAAGGUCAAUAAGAGAUUUAGUAGGUGGAAGAGCAAUUUGUUGUCCAUGGUGGGAAGAUUGACCUUAGCUAAAUAAGUGGUCUAGGCAUUGCCAUCUCAUAUUAUGCAGUUUGAUAAUUGUUGUGUAUGGGUAUAUUUUAUGAUUAAGUCAUAUAAAAAUUAUUAGAUUUCCUCUC